AGCAGGCGCCUGUUGUCGAGAUAUGGCAUUUCACACGCGCGUUCUUUCGCGCUCGUAUUACUGCCAAUACGAUACCAGGCGCUCAAUUGCUUCGUCAGAGGGCGCAAGAGUGCAGUUUGAUGUAGUAUCACAGGGUUCCUUUACAAUUUGGUGCGCACUCGCAUUUUUCCCCGCCAGUACGUGCGAUCUUACGUCCUAUAUAGUAGCGUGCCAAGGCCGAGGAUUGCAGCAAACAGCAUACACCGUCGGUUCAUUAACGGCAGCUUAUAGGUUUGCACACGUACGCUUGGAAGGUGCAAAGACACUGUGAAGCGUGUUAGCAUCACUUCUGAACGUACCGUCCAAAGACAAGCGAGCCGUUGUCAUGGGUGCCAGGAUUCGAGGCUUCCUUCUAUUCAUCGCCGUGUUUUUGCUUGCGACCAUGGCGGCGGCGGCUUGGCUGCCCACUUGUUUGCCCGAGCACUGUCCGACCUGCGACGACUGCACUUCGAACUUCACGACCGUUAAGAACUGCGAGGUCAUUCCCGUCGUUGGCACUGCGGGCUGCCUGUGUUGUGACAAAGGCAGUGUCGCCCCAAAAGCGAGUGCUACGAGUGCCGCACCACCACCUACCAAGAAACCGAGGCGGACGGCUUGCGCCCUGUUUUGUAGCGGAGAAAUCGACUUGGACACUUGUACCUGCGAGUCGUCGUGGCGAUAGGCUGAAGGCGUGCGUUAUUACGCGGUGUGGGCUUUCCUUUCGCUCACGCCGCCAGGCCCCCGGCAGAAAAUAUCGACCGCAGCGCUGUCUCCAUAGGACCCGUCAUAAACCACCACCACCGGAUCCGUUCAGCGCUGCUGGCGUUCCGCCACUGUCUGCGGCGAAAUAAAGGCUGCGCGGGGGCCAUUAUUUCUGAACGACGCCGAAA